rnacentral:rRNA from 1 species
AUAGCAGCUGGAAACGGCUGGUAAUACCGCAUAAGCGCACGGUAUCGCAUGAUACAGUGUGAAAAACUCCGGUGGUAUGAGAUGGACCCGCGUCUGAUUAGCUAGUUGGUGAGGUAACGGCCCACCAAGGCGACGAUCAGUAGCCGACCUGAGAGGGUGACCGGCCACAUUGGGACUGAGACACGGCCCAGACUCCUACGGGAGGCAGCAGUGGGGAAUAUUGCACAAUGGAGGAAACUCUGAUGCAGCGACGCCGCGUGAGUGAAGAAGUAGUUCGCUAUGUAAAGCUCUAUCAGCAGGGAAGAUAGUGACGGUACCUGACUAAGAAGCUCCGGCUAAAUACGUGCCAGCAGCCGCGGUAAUACGUAUGGAGCAAGCGUUAUCCGGAUUUACUGGGUGUAAAGGGAGUGUAGGUGGCCAGGCAAGUCAGAAGUGAAAGCCCGGGGCUCAACCCCGGGACUGCUUUUGAAACUGCAGGGCUAGAGUGCAGGAGGGGCAAGUGGAAUUCCUAGUGUAGCGGUGAAAUGCGUAGAUAUUAGGAGGAACACCAGUGGCGAAGGCGGCUUGCUGGACUGUAACUGACACUGAGGCUCGAAGGCGUGGGGAGCAAACAGGAUUAGACACCCUGGUAGUCCACGCCGUAAAC